rnacentral:piRNA from 1 species
UGCAGAUAUCCUCAGGAACCUAUACCCUC